UACGGAGGGUGCAAGCGUUAUCCGGAUUCACUGGGUUUAAAGGGUGCGUAGGUUGAUAGGUAAGUCAGUGGUGAAAUACUCCGACUCAAUCGGAGAACUGCCGUUGAUACUAUCUAUCUUGAAUACGGUGGAGGCGGGCGGAAUGCGUCAUGUAGUGGUGAAAUACUUAGAUAUGACGCAGAACACCUAUUGCGAAGGCAGCUCGCUACACCGGCAUUGACACUGAGGCACGAAAGCGUGGGGAUCAAACAGG
rnacentral:rRNA from 2 species